UACGGAGGGCGCAAGCGUUAAUCGGAAUUACUGGGCGUAAAGCGUGCGUAGGCGGUUCGUUAAGUCUGUUGUGAAAGCCCCGGGCUCAACCUGGGAAUGGCAAUGGAUACUGGCGAGCUAGAGUGUGUCAGAGGAUGGUGGAAUUCCCGGUGUAGCGGUGAAAUGCGUAGAGAUCGGGAGGAACAUCAGUGGCGAAGGCGGCCAUCUGGGACAACACUGACGCUGAGGCACGAAAGCGUGGGGAGCAAACAGG
rnacentral:rRNA from 1 species